rnacentral:rRNA from 1 species
AUUGAACGCUGGCGGCGUGCCUAACACAUGCAAGUCGAGCGGUAACAGGUGUAGCAAUACAUGCUGACGAGCGGCGAACGGGUGAGUAAUGCUUCGGAAUCUACCCAAUGGUGGGAUAACCAGCCGAAAGGUUGGCUAAUACCGCAUACGUCCUACGGGAGAAAGCAGGGGAUCGUAAGACCUUGCGCCAAUGGAUGAGCCGAAGUCGGAUUAGCUAGUUGGAGGGUAACGGCCGUACCGAGGCGACGAUCCGUAGCUGGUCUGAGAGGAC